CAGAGUUCAUGCCCUCACGGGUAGAUCUCCCACCCUGUGUUAUAUUACCUUUGUUGCUUUGGCGGGCCGUUAUCUUUACGGCUAGCCACCGGCUUAGGCUGGUGUGUGCCCGCCAGAGGACCCCAAACUCUGAAUAUUAUUGUCGUCUGAGUACUAUAUAAUAGUUA
rnacentral:misc_RNA from 1 species